rnacentral:tRNA from 1 species
UACACUUUAGUUUAAAUGAACAUUAAGUUUUGAUCUUAAAAGAGUGAGUUAAAUUCUCACAAGUGUAA